ensembl:lncRNA
AGUUUGUAUUGAAAUAGAAAUAAUUUUCUUAAAUGAGGAACAACCUAUAUGGCAAAAGGAAUCAUGAGCAAAUAGACUUCAGAAUCUGCUACAUGUGCCUGGGGUCAUUCUACUCUCAGGUUCUGUGGCCUAACUUCGUUCCCUAGAUAGAAGAAGAAGGGACAAUACAUUUAGCAGCGUGGUAAAGACUACCCCUGGAAGACUGAUAUCAUCCUGUGUUCUCACAAAGGAGAGAAAGAACCCUUUAUUCUUUAGACCAUGAGAUGACAUGUGUUACCCUAUGAAAUAGGGUAACUAAAUUAAAAUAUGCCCUUUUUUGGCACAAGAAUAUUCUCAGGAAGAGAGAGAGAGAGAAGAAGAAGAGAGGGGAAAACAAAUGUUCAAAUAUCUGCAUCCAAAGAUCCUUCUCUGGGGUUUCAUUUCAGCGAAAGGGAAAUGUCUUCAAUGGUUUGGGCGGUAUUCAUGUAUUGCCACCCAUCCUGGCCUUCGACUUCAGAAUGUGGAAAGAGAUUUCCUUUCAAACUACUCUAAACCAACCUAAGGGACAGCCAUUUGAUUCUUCUUUGGUUAGAUAAAAUCCAAAAGUAUCAGCUUAAGGAGGCAAAUGUGGAGUCUGUCUUAGAAAGUUAGACUGCUUUACAGCAAGAGCUGCAUAAGAGAAGCCUAUACCUCUACCCAGGCUUGGACUGAAUAGAAACAACAGCAAAAGUUCAGAGAUGUCCAGGAUGGAGUUGAAACAGAGUUUUGCCCAAACUGAAAGUGACCAGAUCACAAGUUUACAGGACCCUCAGAACUGAAGUGCAAAUGCCGACAUGACAAACAUCAGCCAGUGGACUUGGCCUAGGAGCCCGAGGACAGCAGGCCACCUCCUACCCUGCUACUAGGAAACAUAAGCCACAACCUCUCUACAGAGAUUUUUAGUCAUUAUUCUUAGAUAUAACAAAAUUUCAUCAAUUCAGAGUUUUUUUAAAAAAAGUGGAUCUAACAUACCAUUUCUCCUAUGAUUCUUUUAUUUUCUCUAAUUUCUUUUUUUUACUCUUUUUUUUAAUGAUUACAACUAAACUGAAAGGUCAAUUAUGUUCACAAUUAGCUAAAAAUUGACCUAUUAAAUAUAAACACUGUAGUCAAUUCAUGUAUUUGAAGACCAUCAACCCUGGUAUUACUCCAUAACUAUUUUAUAAUCACUAUUCACAUGUUCUUGGAAGAGAAAUAUAUGACAGAAAAAAAAUUAACUUCACCAAAGAAUUAUAAAGAGUAAACAAAGAAAAGAAAAUCCAUCAGAGUCAAUUACUAUUAUUUUAACAAGACUCUUUAUACUCUUUUAUCCUACAGCAAGGAUUUGAGAUGUGAUCACAAGUUAUUAUAGCUAACAUUUAUUGAAGACUUGAUAUAAACAGGACACUGUGUGUUGUGCUUUCCAUGCUUCUCAUUAUAUAUACUCAUUCAAUAUAUAUUUUUUCAAUGUCAACUAUGUGCCAGGAACUGUGCUAGUUACUAGGGAAAGAGAGUGGUGUCCUAGAUUAGAUAAUACAUAGACAGAUACCAUUUCUGUCCUUACUUGGCAUAGCUUCUCAUGGAGAAUACAAACAAAAAAGAAAGCAAAAUGAUAAAUAAAAAAUAAUUUCGCUUAUAGGUAUUAUUAUAGAAACACACGAAAGAGAAGGAGAAUCAUGCACAUGGGUCUUCCUUUGUAAACACAGUCAGGGAAGACCUCUGAGAAAGACAUCUUUAAAAUGAGGCCUAAAGUAAGAAAACCACAUAAAGUGUUGAUGUGAAGUGUGAAGAAAGGGAUGGAGGGAAAAGAAAACCAUGUAAAAGGCACACCUUAUGCCAAAUGGCCAAGGCCAGAAAGAGCUUGGAGUGGUCACAAAAUUGAAGGAAACAGUUUGACUUGUGUGUGUCAAGCUUGAAGGAACGUAGCACAACAUAAAUUUAGCAAGAUAUGCAGCCAGAAAUCAUGUAGAGACUUGUGAGCCAUGGAGAGAAUAUAUAUUUUAUAUUAAAUUCAGUGGGAAGCCCCUAUAGAAUACAAAGCAGAAAAAUGACGCGAUCCAAUUUAGGUGUUAAGGAUAUCAGAGCUGCAACAAUGUGGAGACUGCAUAAGAAGGACCUAAGAAGAGAAAAAGCCUAGAUUGUUGAUGCUGGUAUCAUUCUAGGCAGAAGAUGACUGUGGUUUCACUAAGAAGGUGGCAUUAGAGGUCAUAGGAUAGAAUAAAGUUAAAUUUUGGAAAUAGAAUCAAGAUUAUUAAUGGUUUCAGUGUUGGGAUGUGAGGGGAGAGAAGAAUCAAAGGUUAU